rnacentral:rRNA from 1 species
GACGAACGCUGGCGGCGUGCCUAAUACAUGCAAGUAGAACGAGUUGCGAACGGGUGAGUAACGCGUGGUAACCUGCCUCAUAGCGGGGGAUAACUAUUGGAAACGAUAGCUAAUACCGCAUACUGUGAGAUGGACCUGCGUUGUAUUAGCUAGUUGGUGAGGUAAAGGCUCACCAAGGCGACGAUCCCUAGCUGGUCUGGGAGGAGGACCAGCCAUAAUGGAACUGAGGCACAGUCCAGACUCCUGCGGGAGGACGCAGUGGGGAAUAUUGCACAAUGGGCGAAAGCCUGAUGCAGCCAUGCCGCGUGGAGGAAGAAGGCUUUCGGGUUGUAAAGUACUUUCUGCGGGGAGGCGUUACCCGCAGAAGAAGCGCCGGCUAACGCCGUGCCAGCAGCCGCGGUAAUUC